UUACUCUGUUCUUGCAAAGCUUGACAAUUCUCUUUAAUAUUAUCUAAAUGUAAAGCACUUGUGGCCAGGGUUUUGCAAAGUGCAAUACAAAAUAAGUUAUGUCAGAUUGUUUAAAUGUGUAAAUGUAUUAAAUCUUUGGACUGUCAAGCCCAUGAAGCUGAUAGCAUCUGCUACCAGUGUGCAAGAAAAAAUUGACAGAGGUGAAAUCGACAUGAUGGGCUACCUCUUUGAUGUCAUACUUCAAGAGGUAAUCAUCAGGAUCUUGAAAAAGAAUGAGGGCUUCAGCUGCUAUCGGGCAGAAUUUGCCAUGGCCAGCGGAUUUCACCAUUAAAGGCUGAAUAAAUGUGAUAGUCUUGAUUGUAUUUCUUUUGGAUGUUUGAUUAAAGAAAAAUCUAUUGUAACAAGUGGUUUUUGUCUCAUUUUAUUAAGCCUAUUCAAAUUUUGACAUGUCUCAUUGCUGCAUAAUUUCCUGAGGAAUUAUGAUUCUUUGGUGUACAACUACAUCUGAGAUUUAAGUGUCCACAGUUAUGACUCAAUUUUUGAAUGUGGUGAAUCGUCAUCCGCUUUUCGGCGACAUGAAAGCGUAUAUUUAAAUAGCGUUGGUGCAUCUAAUCCAGGAGUGAGAUAUAUACUCGGGAGACUUCGGUAAGAUUAAAAUGAGUUUAAUCAAAAAUAUUCUCAUUAGACAUGAAUAAUUAAAUUGUCAUGAACUGAUUAAUCAUUAGAAGUUAUCAGUUGUAUUCCCUGAGAAACACCAGA